ensembl:lincRNA
UACAAAACAUGUUAAAAGGUCACACCAAACUUAUUUCUCAUCAUUUUUAAGGCAAAGGAAACGAGUCCCUUAGUACAUCACCACCAGACCACACAACCAGCCUGAAAGAUGACCACAAAGUAGACACCCACAUCAUGACUGGGGCAGUCCUUGCAGUGAUAGUCUGUGUGUUCCUGGUGGCAGCUGUCAUUCUCUUCACACAGAGGAGAGCCAUACGCUUCCUGGAAACCCACUGUUGGGAACGGACCUACAGGCACAGAACAGGAGCAGGAGAACCAGCAGGUCUACUCCACAGCACAGCUCCCUGGGCCUCUGUCCACACCAGAGUCCUGUGGGGUCUACUCUCUGGCAGCCAGCCCCCUGAGCUGAGUACGCACUUGCUUAGAGAUCGCGGCCAGUUCACAAAAUGACCACAAGAGGAAGAUCCGCAAUAGACCGGGCUGCGGUGACAGGGUCCAGACUGAAGUACUGAAGCACAGUUGCCCGGUCAGCAGCCUAAAACACCAGCCAUUACCAGCUGAUACCAUCUGGUGGAGAUUGUAAAUGCAAGAAACUUAAAUUGGACAUCAGCGAGACUCCCCGCCCCGUCUGACCUGAAGUUCUGUGCUUUAAUAUACGGAUGGCAUGUGAAUGUGUAAGCUGCGGUGUGCAGAGUGUUAGGAAUUGAGAUUUCAAUUUCUUGGAAGAAAGCUUGUAACUAUAGAAAUCUCAAACACCUGUAACCAAGUAACACUGGAAAUCAUAGCGAUUCUUUAGCAAACCACAGUCACAGCGGUAAUAAGGGCAGGAAAACCGUCUUGUAUAUUUAACCCCACAUCAGUGGUUUUCAAAGCUUCCACAUAUACUGGUGCUGAUAAAACAGCAAUCUUCAGAAUGAAAGAAAAGGGAGUUAUGUCAAAACCCUUCGAUCUUUUUUACAUUAAAGGUUAAUGACUUUUUUCUCUCGGUCAUAAAACUGUGAAAGCAGCUUCUGCACUUGGAUGACCACAGUCACAGCGGUAAUAAGCAUGAGUUGAUCAGCACCCAUACCAACACCCAGAUACAAUAUGUUGGAAAUCAAUGUGAAUCCUUCUACGUGGAGUUUGCAUGUUUUCUUUCUGUUCACAAUGGUUUUCACUUGAUGCUCCUUUUUCCUCUCCCCACCCCCCAAUUAAUCACUGAGAUUAAAUGUCUUUGGGCUUGUGUGUAUGCACCAAGGUUACAAUGACACCCUAAUCACGUAGUAGUCUCACCUUGUGCCCUGUGCGUCCAGGAUAGGUUUUAGUUAGCUGCAGUCUCAGCAGGAAUAAAUGGCUUUCUAAUAUUGUGUAAAUAAAACCCAACUGUGUGACCACAACGGACCAUCAUGCCAUAGAAAGUCACUAUUAGCAUCAACCAUCUGUCUGUUAAAUGCCUGUGUUAGGAGAGAAUUAGCCACUGGGUCAAUGUACAGUAGCAAGUAGCAAGUGCUGUGCUAACAGUUCAUGUGCUUUUGUCCACUCCCAACUUGCGUAUAAAAAAUAUCUAAAAUAUAUGUACAAGUUUUGUUUUUGUAAAGUGAAACACAUCAGUUUUUCACGAAAAAUUAAAAGCAUUCUUGCAAACAGUGCAGA